rnacentral:rRNA from 1 species
AGAGUUUGAUCCUGGCUCAGGAUGAACGCUGGCGGCGUGCCUAACACAUGCAAGUCGAACGAAGCACCUUACCUGAUUCUUCGGAUGAAGGUCUGGUGACUGAGUGGCGGACGGGUGAGUAACGCGUGGGUAACCUGCCCUGUACAGGGGGAUAACAGUUGGAAACGGCUGCUAAUACCGCAUAAGCGCACGAGAGGACAUCCUCUUGUGUGAAAAACUCCGGUGGUACAGGAUGGGCCCGCGUCUGAUUAGCUGGUUGGCAGGGUAACGGCCUACCAAGGCGACGAUCAGUAGCCGGUCUGAGAGGAUGAACGGCCACAUUGGAACUGAGACACGGUCCAAACUCCUACGGGAGGCAGCAGUGGGGAAUAUUGCACAAUGGGGGAAACCCUGAUGCAGCAACGCCGCGUGAGUGAAGAAGUAUUUCGGUAUGUAAAGCUCUAUCAGCAGGGAAGAUAAUGACGGUACCUGACUAAGAAGCUCCGGCUAAAUACGUGCCAGCAGCCGCGGUAAUACGUAUGGAGCAAGCGUUAUCCGGAUUUACUGGGUGUAAAGGGAGCGCAGGCGGUACGGCAAGUCUGAUGUGAAAGCCCGGGGCUCAACCCCGGUACUGCAUUGGAAACUGUCGGACUAGAGUGUCGGAGGGGUAAGUGGAAUUCCUAGUGUAGCGGUGAAAUGCGUAGAUAUUAGGAGGAACACCAGUGGCGAAGGCGGCUUACUGGACGAUUACUGACGCUGAGGCUCGAAAGCGUGGGGAGCAAACAGGAUUAGAUACCCUGGUAGUCCACGCCGUAAACGAUGAUUACUAGGUGUUGGAGGAUUGACCCCUUCAGUGCCGCAGUUAACACAAUAAGUAAUCCACCUGGGGAGUACGACCGCAAGGUUGAAACUCAAAGGAAUUGACGGGGGCCCGCACAAGCAGUGGAGUAUGUGGUUUAAUUCGACGCAACGCGAAGAACCUUACCAAGUCUUGACAUCCUGCGACGGACAUAGAAAUAUGUUUUUCCUUCGGGACGCAGAGACAGGUGGUGCAUGGUUGUCGUCAGCUCGUGUCGUGAGAUGUUGGGUUAAGUCCCGCAACGAGCGCAACCCCUAUGCAUAGUUGCCAGCAGGUAAAGCUGGGCACUCUAUGCAGACUGCCCGGGUUAACCGGGAGGAAGGUGGGGACGACGUCAAGUCAUCAUGGCCCUUACACCUAGGGCUACACACGUACUACAAUGGCACGCACAAAGGGCAGCGAUACCGUGAGGUGGAGCCAAUCCCAAAAAACGUGUCCCAGUCCGGAUUGCAGUCUGCAACUCGACUGCAUGAAGUCGGAAUCGCUAGUAAUUCGAGGUCAGCAUACUCGGGUGAAUGCGUUCCCGGGCCUUGCACACACCGCCCGUCA